AUUGAACGCUGGCGGAAUGCUUUACACAUGCAAGUCGAGCGGCAGCGCGGGGGCAACCCUGGCGGCGAGCGGCGAACGGGUGAGUAACAUAUCGGAACGUACCCUGUCGUGGGGGAUAACUAUCCGAAAGGAUAGCUAAUACCGCAUACGACCUGAGGGUGAAAGCGGGGGACCGCAAGGCCUCGCGCGAUAGGAGCGGCCGAUAUCGGAUUAGCUAGUUGGUGAGGUAAAGGCUCACCAAGGCGACGAUCCGUAGCGGGUCUGAGAGGACGACCCGCCACACUGGAACUGAGACACGGUCCAGACUCCUACGGGAGGCAGCAGUGGGGAAUUUUGGACAAUGGGGGCAACCCUGAUCCAGCCAUUCCGCGUGAGUGAAGAAGGCCUCGGUUGUAAG
rnacentral:rRNA from 1 species